AACGAACGCUGGCGGCAGGCCUAACACAUGCAAGUCGAGCGAGACCUUCGGGUCUAGCGGCGGACGGGUGAGUAACGCGUGGGAAUAUGCCCUUUGGUACGGAAUAGCCUCGGGAAACUGAGAGUAAUACCGUAUGUGCCCUUCGGGGGAAAGAUUUAUCGCCAAAGGAUUAGCCCGCGUUGGAUUAGGUAGUUGGUGGGGUAAUGGCCUACCAAGCCUACGAUCCAUAGCUGGUUUGAGAGGAUGAUCA
rnacentral:rRNA from 1 species